GCGAGGAGUGACCUGACAAAGUGAGCGGGCAAGUAGUCAGGGGCAGGAAUCUGCAAAACGGGACGUGCUCAAUACUUAACCGGCCUGUCAUGAGCUGGCUCCUGGACGGGGUGCAGAUGGGCUGGAUGUAGUAGUUCUCCAACUUAACUCCUUGCGCAGCAAGUCUGUCCAGGGUCGGGGUGUGGAUCUCGGAGCCGUGGUAGCCCACAUCGUGGAAGCCCUGGUCGUCAGCGAGGAUGAAGAUGAUGUGCGGUCUGGAGGCGGUCUUGCUGUCGGGAUCCUGCAAACCCGGGGCUUGGAGUUCAGGUUCCAGCCAGUCCCAGGACAAGUAACCGAAGUGCGAGAGGGGGAUGGACUCUGGAAUUGCGACUCAGGGACUUCCUGGAUGGGGACAGCAGAAUGUACAGUGUGGUCCAUAAGAGGCCUGAAGUUCUCUGUGCAUACCGACUGGAUUCAAUAUUCUGCCAAGUGAAAUAACAGAACUUCACAGCACAAAUAAAAUCACUUCACUGCGUGAAUACAUGCACUUCAUAACACAAUUAAAAUUGCUUGAAAACACAAAUAAAAUAGCACAAAUGAAAUUA